AUCGCACUGUGGAGAAGCUUCUUGAAAUGGGUGAUCGUUUCAUUAUUCAAUCCGUUAUCAAUCACGUUGAAUAUCAUCUCCUUCACAACACGAGUAUUGGAAAUGAAAAGUUGAUGUGGAUGGCGGAUAGAUACGGAAUGCCGAAGCUUCUCGUGAAGUCGAUCCAGCAAAUGAAUUCUAUCGAAAAGGCCAAGGCUCUGAAAUCUUCUCCGGACUAUGCGAAAUUGUCGAAAGAGGCAAAGGAAAAGAUUCUCGAUCGACUCAUGGCGCUGAUCUAAAUGCAAUUUGUUUGAUAUGCUCUGAAACAGACUUGUUAUUUUUCCUUGUUGAUUUUUAUUGUUAAAUGUUUUUUGUUGGCUCUUGUUAUUUUAUUUUCGAAUACUUGUCACGUGGUGUUAUAUUACACUUAACAUAUUUUUUCACAGGUAUGUAAACACCGAAAAAAGGCUUCAACGGUGCGUGCAUUUAUGCGAAAUGGUCUCACCUCGCGCCAUCCAUUAAUUUUAAAAUAUUUUUUUCAAAAUGAAUGAGUGGCGAAACCAUUAUUCGCCCGCCUUUGAAGCCGUAGAGAAAAAAAAUACACCGUAAUAUAUAAAUUUCCAGAUAAAAUUAUGCCGAAAUGGCCGAUGAAGUGAUCGAGUAUAAGUUUAUUUGUCCUAAUAUCACUAUCUAUCGCGAAUCUUUGCAACAUCUCUACACAAGUUUUGCCAAAGGAUUAAAAUGGUAAUUUCCAACUGAUUCGGAGCUCAAUCUUACGAAUUUGAUUUACAGCGUCUGGAAAACGAGAAAUACUUCAGGACAAACAUUUUUCUCAUGGGAAUUCGACUUGAAUGAGCUGAAAAAUCAGGGAAUCGAUGGUCUCAUGGGACGAAUAUCCGUCAAUUCUGAUUCAAUCGAUCUACUGAACGUCCAAAUCGAUUUGAAAAACUCGACUGAAAUUAUUGAAAGAGUUGUUCAUUUGUAUCAUAAUAAUUAUCAGUAUGGGUAUAAUUAUAUCCCCAGCGCGACCUUUGAGUAUUCCUUUGUUCCUUAUUACGCCCAAGCCGAAGGAUCCUUAUACGACCAAAUGUUCCUCCCAUCCCACGAGAACGAUGCAAUUUUGGUGAUUGGAAAGAAAAAGCUUCAUGUCUGCAAAGCUGUAAGUUUUGAAAUAAGCAUUUCACGACUGAAUUUUAUUGAUUUCAGUUCCUCUCGUAUCAUUCAAGCUUUUUCCGUGCAAUUUUCUCGUCAACUUUCAAGGAAGGGCAAAUGAGUGAGAUUCCGAUCAAGGAUGUUACCUACAAGGAUUUCGCUCUGAUGCUGAGCACAAUCUACCCAGAUGCUGUUUUCCCAAAUGG
rnacentral:sRNA from 1 species